GCUGCAUCCAAAGGAUUAAAGCUUGGCGGUUGCGGUGGCAAACGUUGAUCUCUCUAUGCUUAAUGAUUUUCAAGCACAAGGUUGUGUGGUAGAUAUCAGCUUUUGACUCAUUUCUUAAGUACUCCUUGGCACACAUUGUUUCCUUCUGCAGUUGAUCUCUUGCUGCAACUCUUUCUUCAUAUGUUGUCUGCAAUAGAAGAAGUUUUGCUAGAAUCCAUUGGAGCAACGAAGCCAUAUUUGCGACAAUUUAUUGAUGUAUAGGCAUUUUUGUGGGUUUGGUAAGAAAAUUUC